CGGACAAACUGGAUACACCUAAGUAAACACAAUGCGCAAUCUGGCCGCAUUGUCCGCCGACUCUUGAACGCCGCGGUUUUCAGAUUGGAUUUCUUCUCGCGUCGUACGUCUCGAUUAUCGUUGAUAAUAACUGAUAAACUUACAUCUGACUUGAAUUUUUGACAUCCCACGCACCGAACUGAACUACGGAACGAGGUGUAAAUGUAUCAAUGAUUGGAGAAGAGAAACGCUGGGGAUAUCUUGGCUCGAAAGUGAGGAACGUGGUGGGAAACGAGAUUAACGUACACGUAUGCAUGUACGUAGCGUGCAUUUAAUGCGCAGUGUGUACACACCACAAAUAAAACCCGUUCGUGGUUCACCAAACUAACGUCGUCAUUGUCGUCGUCCUUUCGAGGUCGGUUUUCACUCCGAGAUGGAAAACAGGGUCUUAAAGCAUAACCAAAUGUACAUGUGAUCCAUGUAGGAGACCACCUACUAGGUGUUAUCGUGUAAACCUCUGCAGCGCAGGUGUUUUAAUCACACUUGUUUCAGAACGUCCAAGUACGAGAAGAAUCGGGGCGUCGUCGUCGCAUUUGCAGAUACGUGGAGGGGCAUAGGUGUAGGCAGUGUUGCUGAGCUUGCACGGGGUCCGUUGGAACCGAGGGACGCUUUGUCCCCCUGGGAAUAAGAACUGAAACGGAGGAUUUACACGUGUACUUGCUAGAGCCGCAGCCCAGGGAGCAGAUAUAACCCGGAGCGUCUCGCCGCGGUCCCGACGCCGUCCUCGAGAGUGUUUAUGCUAAUCUGGAGCCAGGGUGGCCCGGAGCAACAG